GCCAGGCGACUUCUGCAGGUUACAGCUGAACACAAACAGAGAAACAAGAUGGUCGGCCAACGUGUCCUUAUUUACCUAUACCUAUGUGUGAUGUGGUCAAAAGCCUCAGAGUGAGCAAGGACAAUACCUAUCUGAGCCACGUUGUGAAGGAGGCCAGCGUCCCACAGACCCUGAUUAUCUUUGACUGGCAGGGCCUCUGUAUGACCAGGUCUACUCAAAACCCCAAGGCCCCUCUACCCCCCCAUCACUCUCUCUGCCUCUUCACGUCUUCAUACGUCAUGUUCAGAGCUCGAUGGAUUUUCUAUCAAAUAGAACAACAGUCAGUGAACCUCAGAACCUCGUCAGCCUGUCUGUUCAACACCCCAACACUUCU